UGUGUGUCUGUCUGUCUGUGUGUGUGUUUGUCUGUGUGUGUGUUUGUCUGUCUGUAUAUGUAUGUGUGUGUGUUUGUCUGUCUGUAUAUGUAUGUUUGUCUGUGUAUACCCGUUCUAUGUGUGUGUUUAUCAGUGUGUGUCUGUCUGUGUGUGUUUGUCUAUGUAUGUGUUGUGUGUAUCUGUCUGUGUGUCUGUCAGGUAGUCAUAGAGAAACAGAUAAAGCUUCAGAAUAUAAAUUUCAAUUUUAUUGAAUUCACUGUAUAUUGCAUAAGGAUCACUAACAUAGGUGUGAUACACUGUACAUCUAGUGGAGUACACCGACUUUUCAGAAACUUUUUGAUAUGUCAUCCAUACGCAUCCUGGCAUGAAACUGCUUCGCUUCUGUUUGUCUAUUUGAAUUACACCAGUGGAUCUACAUAGGCUAGCUUAACUAUGACAUCAUAAUAUAACACGUAAUGUGAUGUCAUAAUAGAGUAAUGACAUCAGAUUUUUUUUUUUUUUUUUUUUUUCUUGGCUAGAGUUAUCUUCCUUGACAAAUAUUCUUCUUCAUACAAAGGUGUCUUAUUUUGACUUAUGUUUAUUAGAUAAAAGCAUGAUAUCAGGGUAAUUUAUUAAAGAUGUGACGGUUUAGACGAACCAAUUUUUAGGGCAAAUUUCUCAUUGAAAUAAGUUUUUUUGAACUUGAAAAAACAGAAAACAGACUCUCCAGGAUUGCUCAAGUUAACAUCCUUACUGGCCAUUUCAGGGUUUUUUUCUCUACAAUUCCUUUUAUUUCACAUCAAAUUUCCUUAAAAUACAAUUCUAGUCUUUAUUUGGAAUCAAAAUCGCAUGUAUUUCACUCAGUUCUGGGUCUUUUAUUCUAUUUUCAACUUUACCAAGGGGAAGAACUCUGCUGGAAACAGUGAUGUGAAGAGGGCAGUUUUUGUUCACUCAUUUCAAGAUAUAAUGAACAAUAACUCCCCAUGUAUGAUACAUCAUUUUACUCGGAAAAACUUAAAUUUUUAAACAGUAUAGGUAUUUCAUGAUGUCGUAGAAUUUCCGCAGUCUUUAAAGUCUCAAUAUACCUGGCGAAUUGCCAAUACGAAGCUAAAGUGACCAGGGUUAAAAUGUAAAUAUGUUAAAAGAGUAUUUUAUAGAAUUUAAAUAGUUUCAUUGUUAUUGAUAUCUGUAUUAAUAUAGGGAGGUGACCAUUCUACAUUGAUCCAGUGCCUUUUUAUGGGAUUCGAAACUGUGACUGUGAGAUGUAUGAGAGUUUGACUUCUAGGCGGGCAAUUCUACUUUCACUUUAAACGGUAAGUUGAAAAGAGCAUGCUGCAUCUUUGAUGUAAAAUAUCUCGAAAAGGAAUCAAGGACCCUAUUGCAAAUUUGGCCUUGUUGGAAAGGUUAGGAAUUUUGCUGAAAGUUGAUAUCUGUCAUUAUACUGGGGAAAUUUUUUUUUUUUGAAUUAGGAGGGGUUGAAAAUGGGUAUAUUUUCCUCAUUUUUGUUGCUUUUUUACUUCCAGGAUGGCAGGUGCCUGAGUGUAUCUCGACCCAUUUCCAGGCUAGCAUCAGAUGUCAUGAUGGACCUUUAAAAUCUUUCACAUGUGUGCUUUCAAGAACCAUAUACAUUAUUUUUGAAAAUUGGUUGCCAUGGUAAUAAAAUCUGAAAAUUAACACAUGGACUUCUGAAGGCGAAUUUUCCUCCAUUUCCUGGUAGUUUGUGACCUUAAGCACAAAUCAGCUUGAAACUUGAAUUUUCCAGGCAAGAAUUUUUUUGUUUAUUGUGUUUAAAUAUGAUGUUUAUGCUUUAAAUAUGAGGUUUAUACUUAAUAUUAUUGAUUUCAUUGAAAUUGAAGGUCAUCGAUUAGUAAAUAUGUCAGAAGUAUUCUUAGCAAUUGGUCGAGUGUGAGUGCAAGAAAUUUCUCCUCAGCCAUAAAUUUUCUAUGAAAGUUUUUUGCAAUGCUAAUGAUGGAUAGAUGUGUGUGUGUGUGUCUGUCUGUCUGUCUGUCUGUCUGUCUGUCUGUGUGUGUGUGUCUGUCAAUCAGUGAGUGAGUGAGUGUGUGUGUCUGUCUGUCUGUCUGUGUGCGUGUCUUUCUGUGUGCAUAUGUGUGUGCGUGCGCGCGCAUGCAUGUGUACGUGUCUGUCUGUGUAUGUGUUUGUCUGUGUGACUGACUAUGUGUUUGUGUGUCUGUCUGUCUGUGUGUGUGUUUGUCUGUGUGUGUGUUUGUCUGUCUGUAUAUGUAUGUGUGUGUGUUUGUCUGUCUGUAUAUGUAUGUUUGUCUGUGUAUACCCGUUCUAUGUGUGUGUUUAUCAGUGUGUGUCUGUCUGUGUGUGUUUGUCUAUGUAUGUGUUGUGUGUAUCUGUCUGUGUGUCUGUCAGGUAGUCAUAGAGAAACAGAUAAAGCUUCAGAAUAUAAAUUUCAAUUUUAUUGAAUUCACUGUAUAUUGCAUAAGGAUCACUAACAUAGGUGUGAUACACUGUACAUCUAGUGGAGUACACCGACUUUUCAGAAACUUUUUGAUAUGUCAUCCAUACGCAUCCUGGCAUGAAACUGCUUCGCUUCUGUUUGUCUAUUUGAAUUACACCAGUGGAUCUACAUAGGCUAGCUUAACUAUGACAUCAUAAUAUAACACGUAAUGUGAUGUCAUAAUAGAGUAAUGACAUCAGAUUUUUUUUUUUUUUUUUUUUUCUUGGCUAGAGUUAUCUUCCUUGACAAAUAUUCUUCUUCAUACAAAGGUGUCUUAUUUUGACUUAUGUUUAUUAGAUAAAAGCAUGAUAUCAGGGUAAUUUAUUAAAGAUGUGACGGUUUAGACGAACCAAUUUUUAGGGCAAAUUUCUCAUUGAAAUAAGUUUUUUUGAACUUGAAAAAACAGAAAACAGACUCUCCAGGAUUGCUCAAGUUAACAUCCUUACUGGCCAUUUCAGGGUUUUUUUCUCUACAAUUCCUUUUAUUUCACAUCAAAUUUCCUUAAAAUACAAUUCUAGUCUUUAUUUGGAAUCAAAAUCGCAUGUAUUUCACUCAGUUCUGGGUCUUUUAUUCUAUUUUCAACUUUACCAAGGGGAAGAACUCUGCUGGAAACAGUGAUGUGAAGAGGGCAGUUUUUGUUCACUCAUUUCAAGAUAUAAUGAACAAUAACUCCCCAUGUAUGAUACAUCAUUUUACUCGGAAAAACUUAAAUUUUUAAACAGUAUAGGUAUUUCAUGAUGUCGUAGAAUUUCCGCAGUCUUUAAAGUCUCAAUAUACCUGGCGAAUUGCCAAUACGAAGCUAAAGUGACCAGGGUUAAAAUGUAAAUAUGUUAAAAGAGUAUUUUAUAGAAUUUAAAUAGUUUCAUUGUUAUUGAUAUCUGUAUUAAUAUAGGGAGGUGACCAUUCUACAUUGAUCCAGUGCCUUUUUAUGGGAUUCGAAACUGUGACUGUGAGAUGUAUGAGAGUUUGACUUCUAGGCGGGCAAUUCUACUUUCACUUUAAACGGUAAGUUGAAAAGAGCAUGCUGCAUCUUUGAUGUAAAAUAUCUCGAAAAGGAAUCAAGGACCCUAUUGCAAAUUUGGCCUUGUUGGAAAGGUUAGGAAUUUUGCUGAAAGUUGAUAUCUGUCAUUAUACUGGGGAAAUUUUUUUUUUUUGAAUUAGGAGGGGUUGAAAAUGGGUAUAUUUUCCUCAUUUUUGUUGCUUUUUUACUUCCAGGAUGGCAGGUGCCUGAGUGUAUCUCGACCCAUUUCCAGGCUAGCAUCAGAUGUCAUGAUGGACCUUUAAAAUCUUUCACAUGUGUGCUUUCAAGAACCAUAUACAUUAUUUUUGAAAAUUGGUUGCCAUGGGUUUUCGAAAAUGGACAGACUAAACUUCAACAGACACAGGAGGAUUCGACAGUAGUGCCAACAGAUAACAGUGUUGUGUCAGAAGAUUGUCAACCUGGAAAAGAAUCAGUAGAAUCCAAUGAUAUAAACAGUCUUGAUGUAUUAGCUAUGGCUGCUGAGAAGAGGAAGUUGGAAGAAGUCAUAAUAACUCUCCGAGAAGAAAACGACAAAUUGAAGUGUGAACAAAUGCAUUUACAAGACAGUUUAAGCAAUAAGUCGAGUAUGAGAUAUGAUAACUUAAAAACAGAGGAAUUUAAGUAUUAUACAGGAUUUUCAUCAGCAACAUUUAAUGUUAUAUACCAGUUUUUAGUUCCUGUGGAUGAGCCAUUUGAGUACUCGAAAAAUGUCAGUAGUCUAUGAAUUCUUAGUAUGAAGGAUCAACUGUUAUUUGUUUUAAUCAAAUUACGACAAAAUUUUGACUUUAAACAUAUGUCUCGGCUGUUUCGAAUUUCACCUCAAGACUGCAGUGUUAUUUUUAGUAACAGGAUAAAUUUCAUGUUUUACCGCUUUGGAUCAGUGCCUGUUUGGCCAGACAGAAGUAUUAUUAUAGACAAAAUGCCACAAAAAUUUAAAGAAGAAUUCCCUACUACUCUUGUCAUCAUUGAUGGUGCUAAGAUGAAAAUUCAAAGGCCUAGUUCGUUAACAAAACAGAGUCAGUUUUACUCUGACUAUAAAUCCAGUACAACUUUCAAGGGUUUAGUUGGUAUUGAUCCUAGAGGAUCUAUUAUAUUUGCCUCAAUGCUAUUUUCAGGCUCAAUUUCUGACAAUGACAUUACCCAUCAGAGUAGAUUUUUCAAGAAAUGAUUAAAGAAGGUAAAAUACAUGAAGGAGAUGGGGUAAUGGCUGAUAAAGGUUUUCAUAUAGAAAAUGACCUUGAAAAGAUAGGGCUUUAGUUAAAUAUACCACCCUUUGCUCCUGCUUCAGGCCAGAUGAAACAUCUGAUGUGAAAAUGACAGAAAAAGUUGCUAUUCAUAGGGUGCAUGUAGAAAGAGCUAUUGCUAGAGUAAAGAAGUUUAAAAUAAUGGACAACAGAAUCGACCUUAGUUUAUUUAGUGCGAUAAAUCAAAUCUGGUUUGUUUGUUGCUUUUUAACAAAUUCCAUGGCUUUCCUUAUCCAGGAUUGAAUAUAUGUAGAUUUCCUUACAUGAUAUGAUAAUGCUGAUCCAAGUGGCUGUUGUGAUUGACCAGCAUCAAUCAUUUGACUUGGUGCUGAUACAAUGUAUGAUAUUGGUGCAGACACAUGAUUUUUCAAUAUGGCAAUGUGAGACUCUUCCAGGUUAAUUUUUCUACAAAUCAAUAUUUUUAUACCAAAUUGAAAUAUCAUGUGUAUAUACAUUUUCAAUGAAAUGUUUGUCUUGUUCAAUUAGUCAUUUACUAAAGACACAUAACAACACCCCACCCCCACCCUGGACAUUAUAUUGUUCCUGUUAUUUUCAUAUGGAAAGUUCAGGAUUUAUUUUACGGUAGUAUUCAAUGGCUUUGGAAAUGAAGUUUGAAUUGAACACAUAAAAUAAAUGUUGUUUUUCUUAUUAAGCCUACUUCUCUGCCCCUCACCCUUUACAAAGUGAUGCUAUGUGCAUGUAUUAACCAGUGUUUAUAUAAACUGAAAAUGUGAUUACAUGUGAUAUUAAUAACUGGUAUCAACCAGUGUGUAUAUAAACUGAAGAUUUUAUUACGUGAUGUUGAGUAUAAACUUGUGUACUAACAUAGACAACUACCCCCCCCCCCCCCUCCUUUUUUCAGGGGGAGGGGGUAAUUUCUCAUCGAUUUGUGUGGAUUCCCCAUCUAUUGCAUCCCAAUUUUGAUUUAUGUAAUUGUUUCACUGUAGAAGGCCAAUCUCUUAAACAUUUAUAUAUAGAACAGCUAAAAGGUUAAUCUCUUAAACUAUACAGGUAGAAAGCAUGCAAUCUCUAAAGCUUACAAAAAGAGUGAAACGAAUACAUAAAUCACAAUUGGUAUGAGAUAGACAGGGAAUCCAAACAAUUCAGAGAUUGUCGGCGCAAAAAAAAUCAGAAGGAAGGGGGGGGGGGUAUACUGUCUGUGUGCACUGAUACUAUAUGUA